GACGAACGCUGGCGGCGUGCUUAACACAUGCAAGUCGAACGGUAAGGCCCUUCGGGGUACACGAGUGGCGAACGGGUGAGUAACACGUGGGUGAUCUGCCCUGCACUUCGGGAUAAGCCUGGGAAACUGGGUCUAAUACCGGAUAGGACCACUGCCUGCAUGGGUGGUGGGGGAAAGCUUUUGCGGUGUGGGAUGGGCCCGGGGCCUAUCAGCUUGUUGGUGGGGUGAUGGCCUACCAAGGCGACGACGGGUAGCCGGCCUGAGAGGGUGACCGGCCACACUGGGACUGAGAUACGGCCCAGACUCCUACGGGAGGCAGCAGUGGGGAAUAUUGCACAAUGGGCGCAAGCCUGAUGCAGCGACGCCGCGUGAGGGAUGACGGCCUUCGGGUUGUAAACCUCUUUCAGCACCGACGAAGCGCAAGUGACGGUAGGUGCAGAAGAAGGACCGGCCAACUACGUGCCAGCAGCCGCCGUAA
rnacentral:rRNA from 1 species